rnacentral:rRNA from 1 species
UACGAGUUGUGCAAACGUUAUUCGGAAUCACUGGGCUUAAAGGGUGCGUAGGCGGCUAUGAAAGUCAGAUGUGAAAUCCCUCGGCUCAACCGAGGAACUGCAUUUGAAACUGUAUAGCUUGAGGGAGACAGAGGUGAGCGGAACUGAUGGUGGAGCGGUGAAAUGCGUAGAUAUCGGGAGGAACAUCAGUGGCGAAGGCGGCUGCCUGGCCCAAUACUGACACUCAGGUGCGACAGCGUGGGGAGCAAACAGG